CUUGCUUCAGCGGAACAUAUACUAAAAUUGGAACGAUACAGAGAAGAUUAGCAUGGCCCCUGCACAAGGAUGACACACAAAUCUGGUAAACAUUUCAUAUUUUU
rnacentral:snRNA from 1 species